AUAAUACUCCAUAGGUCACGAGAUCUGGAAAGACUUGUGGCUCAAAGUUCAGGCGCUCUAGGAUUGGUCUGCGGCCUAUCAGGUAGUAGUGGGUGUAACGGACCCACUGGCCGAUGACGGGUAUGGGCCUUGAGAGAGGGAGCCCAGAGAUGGAUUCUGAGACACGAAUCCAGGCCCUACGGGGCGCAGCAGUCGCGAAAACUUCACAAUGGAGGCAACUCCGAUGAGGGAAUUCCUAGUGCCAAUGCAUUUUGUGUUGGCUUUUCUUCAGCGUAGAUAACUGAUGGAAUAAGGGCUGGGUAAGACGGGUGCCAGCCGCCGCGGUAAUACCCGCAGCCCAAGUGGUGGUCGAUAUUAUUGAGUCUAAAACGUUCGUAGCCGGUUCAAUAAAUCUCUGGGUAAAUCGGAGGGCUCAACCUUCCGAAUUCCGGAGCGACUGUUGAACUUGGGACCGGGAGAGGCAAGAGGUACUUCUGGGGUAGGGGUAAAAUCCUGUAAUCCUAGAAGGACCACCGGUGGCGAAAGCGUCUUGCUAGAACGGAUCCGACGGUGAGGGACGAAGCCCUGGGUCGCAAACGGGAUUAGAUAACCCGGUAGUCCAGGGUGUAAACGCUGCGAAAUUGGUGU
rnacentral:rRNA from 1 species